UACGGGGGGAGCUAGCGUUGUUCGGAAUUAUUGGGCGUAAAGGGUGUGUAGGCGGUUAUAUAAGUAAGGUGUUAAAUCCCCGGGCUCAACCCUGGAAUCGCAUCUUAUACUGUAUGACUAGAAUAUGGUAGAGGAAAGCGGAAUUUCUAGUGUAGAGGUGAAAUUCGCAGAUAUUAGAAGGAACGUCAGAGGCGAAGGCGGCUUUCUGGACCAUUAUUGACGCUGAGGCACGAAAGCGUGGGGAGCAAACAGG
rnacentral:misc_RNA from 1 species